AGAAACAAGCCCCCAACGUUGGAGCUGCCUCAGCUGACACUGAGUGAGCAGAGGCAAGCUGUUCCCUCAGAGCGCUACCCAAACUGCAGAUUUGUGCGCAAAACAAAUGUUGCUGUUGUUUAUGCCACCAAGGUAGGGCAUGACUAGUUAUGCAGCAAUAGAAAUCUGAAACACUCUUGUUAGAAAUGCUCAGGCCCAAACCUGUGGUCAUCCUUGCCACCUCUCUUUCUCUCAUACCCCACUCCCAAUCGGUCAGAAAAUGCUCACAAAACAUAUCCAGAAUCUGACCUCUUCUUGCCACCACCAUUGCUACCAAUCUUUCAACAUAGUUCCUCACAGGAGUUAUUUUGGUAGCUUCCCAACUAACCUCCCUAUUUCCACCCUUGCCCCUCUUCGAUCUCAUUCUCAACACAGCAGCUAAAGUGAUCCUAUUAAAAGUAUGUCAGAUCAUAUUAACCCUCUAAUCAAAAGCUCUAAUGGCUUCCCAUAUCGUGAUACAAUUUCUUCCAACCUCCCCAUGAGCUCUCUGUCCCCAUUUCCUACUCUUUUCAGUCCCCAGGUACACUGACUUACUUAAUGCUCCCCAGACACACAGGUCUGUUCCCACCCGGGCCUUUGCACAUGGUUUACUCCUUUACUUCCCUCAAGUCUUUCUCAAAUGUCACCUUUUUCAUGAGGAUGUUCCCUGCCACCUUAGCCUCCUUCCCUGCUUCAUUUUUCUCCACAGCACUCCUCACCACUCACAUAAUUUUAAUUAUUUAUCUGCUUUCUCAGUUGCCACUUUUCACACCACCACCACACUCACACACAGAGAGACCACAGAAAACAUAGUAGCGUGUUAGCUACAUGAUGUCAGGAGUUUCUGUUUUAGUCACUAUUCUAUCCCUGGCAUCUUAAACAGUACCUGAUUGACACAUUGAAGGCCAUUGAUAAGUAUCUGUUGAAUAAGUGGAUGGGAUUAAAUGCUUAGAUCAAGUCAUAUUAUCUAAGUGGCCUUAGGAAAAUUUGAGCCCAGUCUUUUGCUCUAGCUUUUAUACCAUGUAAAAUACAGUAAGAGAAUACCCAAAUUAAUCAAUAAAGAAAAUGUACUAUCUUAGAAAUGAGACAUCCUGACAUGCUUCCCAAGUUGAUUAUUUUAGAAGCAUGAUGAUGGUUCCCAGGACAUAGGCAUUUUCUAUCUUUUCUCUCUACCAUCUUUACUUAUUGUAUGUUAUGGACUAAAUGUUUGUGUCCUCCCCACUGCCCCCCCCCGCAAAAUUCUUCUGUUGAAACCCUAACCCCAAUGUCAUGGUAUUUGGAGGUGAGCCCUUCAGGAGGUAAUCAUGACUAGAUUAGGUGAUGAGGGUGGGACCCUCAUUAUGGGAUUAAUGCCCUUAUAAAAAAGAGGAGGAGACACGGGAUUUUUCUUUCCAUGUGUGCAUACCAAGAAAAGACCAUAUGAAGACAACCAAAAAGAGUGCCCUCACCAAAAACCUGAGCACCCUUAUUUUGGACUUACAGCCUCCAGAACUGUGAGAAAUUAAUAUUUGUUGUUCAAGCCACAGAGCCCAUUGUGUUUUUUAUGGCAGCUCAAGCAGACCAGGGUGGUAUGGCAGAUAUUUCCCCAAGAUGGCCACCCCUAUAUAUUUCUUCUAUGGCAUGUUUUUCAUGCAACGAGGCUGAUGUUCCUCCCACCAAGAGGUGGUGUCUAUGUUGUAGGGGUUGUAGACUGUCAAUCCUAAUCAACAGAGUGAGGUGGAAGUGAUGCUAUGUGAAACCAGAUUACCGAAAGCAUACAGCUUCCACUUGGCUCUCUCUUUCAGGAUGCUUCCUUGGGAACCUUGACAACAUAUUGUGAGGAAGCCCGUGCCACACGGAGAAGCUGACAUGGAGUGGAACUCAGCCCUCCCGCCAGCAGGCAGUUCCAAUUUGCCAGGCAUGUGAGUGAGCCAUUUUGGAAGCGGGUCCUUCGGCCACAGUCAAAACUUCAAAUAAGUACACCUCCAGCCAACAUGUGUUUGCAACCUCAUGGGAAACUCCUAAGCCAGAACCUCUCCCAAAUUCCUGGCUCACAGAAACCAUGAGAGAUUUUUGUUGUUUUAAGCCAUUAAGUUUUGGGGUAAUUUGUUAAGGAGUAUUUGUGUGAACCAGAUUGAUGUCAUCUUGGACAAAUCCACUGCGAUGACUCCUCUGUGACAUGAAGCCUUCUUGAGCACAGCACCCACCCCCCAAAUUCUUCCUUUUUGUUUAACCACACCCUUAAGUACACUCUUGGAGCAUGACAUCCUUGAUCUGCUCUGGAGAUAUGACUAUGAUUCUCAAACAUUCUCCUCCUGGGUGGUCUCCCAGUCUCUAAGGCUAUGAAAACAGGUCAAAACGGAUCUUACAGGAGGUGGGGUCGCAGAGAUAUCCUCUUGCCACCAGCCAAGACAUGCUUCUGUCCAUAAGUCCCUUUAAUGAAUCAUUUCUUGACAAGCUGUACUUGU
rnacentral:lncRNA from 1 species